CCCUUAGAUGUUCUGGGCAGCACGCGCACUACAAUGGUCUUCGCAAACGGAUGCAUUCUCGCAGGAGAAUGCCAAUCUUGGAAUCUAUGCCUUGGUCGGGACAGUUGCUUGCAAUUUUUCGACUCGAACCAGGAAUUCCUUGUAAUCGUGAUUCAUCACAUCACGAUGAAUACGUCCCUGCCCUUUGUACACACCGCCCGUCGCUCCCACCGAUCGAAGAGUUAGGUGAAUUGUUUUGAUCGAUAAGAUUUGACUAUGGUCAACUCUCGUUGUGAAAUUCUGUGAAUCUGACUGUUUAGAGGAAGGAAAAGUCGUAACA
rnacentral:rRNA from 1 species